rnacentral:rRNA from 1 species
CGAUGGGCCGACGUCGCAUGCUCCCGGCCGCCAUGGUUAGAGUUUGAUCAUGGCUCAGAGCGAACGCUGGCGGCAGGCCUAACACAUGCAAGUCGAACGGACCCUUCGGGGUUAGUGGCGGACGGGUGAGUAACACGUGGGAACGUGCCUUUAGGUUCGGAAUAGCUCCUGGAAACGGGUGGUAAUGCCGAAUGUGCCCUUCGGGGGAAAGAUUUAUCGCCUUUAGAGCGGCCCGCGUCUGAUUAGCUAGUUGGUGAGGUAAUGGCUCACCAAGGCGACGAUCAGUAGCUGGUCUGAGAGGAUGACCAGCCACAUUGGGACUGAGACACGGCCCAAACUCCUACGGGAGGCAGCAGUGGGGAAUCUUGCGCAAUGGGCGAAAGCCUGACGCAGCCAUGCCGCGUGAAUGAUGAAGGUCUUAGGAUUGUAAAAUUCUUUCACCGGGGACGAUAAUGACGGUACCCGGAGAAGAAGCCCCGGCUAACUUCGUGCCAGCAGCCGCGGUAAUACGAAGGGGGCUAGCGUUGCUCGGAAUUACUGGGCGUAAAGGGCGCGUAGGCGGACAUUUAAGUCAGGGGUGAAAUCCCAGAGCUCAACUCUGGAACUGCCUUUGAUACUGGGUGUCUUGAGUGUGAGAGAGGUAUGUGGAACUCCGAGUGUAGAGGUGAAAUUCGUAGAUAUUCGGAAGAACACCAGUGGCGAAGGCGACAUACUGGCUCAUUACUGACGCUGAGGCGCGAAAAGCGUGGGGAACAAACAGGAUUAGAUACCUUGGUAGUCCACGCCGUAAACA